rnacentral:lncRNA from 1 species
GCACUUUCUUUAAUUAAAAAAAAAUGGAAACAGUCAAUUAUAACCCACAAAACACAACCUAAUUCCUAAAUGUCUAAACCUCCUCUCUGACUCUCUCUCUCUCUCUCGCCAACUUGUCACUCGCCAUCCUCACAGUCUCUCAUCAAAUCGUCAGCACCGAAGAAAUAUUUUCAGUUGCCUUCUUUCUCUCGCCGUCUCUCACUAUCUCUUGUGAUAAAGAGUGAAAAAAUUGCUAAAGCUUGAUAGCCAUUGGAGCUGUAAAUUGUAAUAAAUCUCUAGUAGAAGGUAGAGGAAAUGGAAUACAAAUUCCCAGGUAAAGUCGUUUCUUGUAAUUUCAAUCUGUUAAGAAACCUCAGGUUUUUCUUGGUAAUUGCUGCUAUUGGGUUUUGUAUUACCCCCGACUGAUAUGCCUAUGAAUUGUUCGAUUAUUCUCCUGCAUGAACUGAUAUUCUUUGGAAGAAGAUAUCAGAUUCAUUCUAUGGACUUUGUUUGAAAUCUUAACUUGAAAUUUCAAUUUUGAUAGAUGCUAACCAACUAGGAGUUGAGUAUAUUUCUUGAUGGGCUUGGGCGCUUUUCUCAGUGAAUCAAAUUUUCUUAGUGUUUAAUUUGUUUUAAUGUCUUGAUCAUUGUUCAUGGAGAGAGAUUGCGUAUUGGGAUUUACAUUUUUUAGUUGGCAGCUUGAUUUUGAAAGAUUCAAUUUCUGAUGGUCAUUCCAAUGUGGUAGUAAAUACAAAGAAAUAUAGAUAUAGUAGAUUUCGUUGGAGUUUUGUAGUAAAUGCAUCUACUUUUUGGUAGAUGAAAUGUUGAGUGUUUGUUCGUUAAGUAAUAUGUUCCAGUGAAAUGAGUGUAACUUCAGAAUUAAAUGCAUAGAAGUAAAAUUUGGCUUAUUUUUAGCAUUGUACAUAACAAAAAUUUGCUCUUCAUUCAUAGAAGUAAAAUUUAGCAUAAUUUUGGCAUUAUACAGAGCAAAAAUUUUGCUCUUCUUCAUUUUAUGUUGAUGCUUUUGGGUGUCACUGAGAAAGGUUUUUCAAAAAAUGUUGCUAGCAUGACCGCAUGAGGAGUGUAAAUGCUUGGGUUGGGGCCGGUUUUUGAUGUAUUUUCAAAUUAAAUUGCUUGUUUGUUUGACAAAAAGAAAUUUAAAGCAAAAUCAUUGCUAUGCCUGUGAUGUGAAUGUAGUUAAGAUGUCGUCUUACUAGAGAUUUAUUACAAUUUACAUUACCUUCAUCCAAUUUAGUAGGUGCAUGCUUGUGGAUAGUAUUUAUCUAAAAUAGCAUUUUUGUACACAACAAUAACAAAUAGCAUUUCUGCCAUCUUUACUUUUGUCUUCAAUGUGGGGAUUAAAAAGUCGCGCUUUACCCACAGAUACACGUUGAGUAGGGAUGUCAUAUUUUAUGGAGAUAAUACUUGGAACUGAGAGAAAAGCCAUGGUUAGCAAAUCAAGAAUUGAAGUCUCCAUUUUGUAGAAUAUAAGAUGUAAAAUUGUACCACUGCCACUUGAAAGAAAGCUAAUGAAAGUAUUGCAUUUGUUUAGAAAAAUAAUUGAAAAUAUACACAUGUAUUUAGUUUGCUCAACUCAUGAAGUGAAAAACAAAAUUCAAAAACUUACUUUGAUGAACAGUCAGAUGUUGUACGUUGGCAUUGGUAUUUGAACUUUCAACUUCAAUUUCAAACUGAUAAUCCAUGUUUUGCUGUUGUUUGAGAACUGAUAGCUAGCUAUUAAUUAAAAAGCGGUCGAGUUAAAAUGCAAAAAAGAACAUUGAUACAACUAGAAUGGCCGAUGAUAUAAAGAAUAAUUAUGAUAAAAUUUCAAGACUAAUUGUACUACUAUCAUUGUCUUUAUGAAAAUUUCAUUUUUAUAUUUUUGUUUUAUUCAAGUUCUUGUCAACUCUACCUGGUCUUGGAAAGAAAUUGAUUUAUACUUCCUAAAUUUGCAAUUGAGCAGUUAUACUGUUAUAGUUUAUGGGUUUUCUAAUAUGGAAAUGUGGGCAGUAAUUUAAUUAAUUGAUUAGCAAGAUCUUAAAUUUCCUGCAUUUGACAUAUUUUGAGGAUAAUUUUUUAAGUUAUACUGUCGACAGUUUAAAAUUUUAUGCAUGAGCAAGAGGAGGAGGUACCAAUGGAUCACAUUCUUAUGAGAGAAGUUGUGAUUGAAAUUGAGUGUGAUGUAAAUAUGAGCCGAGAAGCAAGAAGCCCCAACCUUUUGGAUGUAAACUCGGGAAGAUUUCUUCUGAUAAGUUCUACAGUGCAGCAGUAAGUUUAGAUGGACCAAUCAGGGGUGAAAAUGGGGCGAGCUUGAGCAGCAAUGUGAAGAAUCCAAGCGAUGUUUCUCCGGUUCUGGAGAAGAACGUAAGGAAGGAAAAGCGCAAGUCAAAUAGUGCCAAGAAGCUGCCUAAACCGCCUCGUCCUCCAAGAGGAUUGUCACU